UUUUCAAAUUUUGGAUGUUGCCUAUUCUCAAUAAUGGUGGAUUCUUAAUAUUCCACAUACACGUUUUGUUUUCCUAUAUAUAUGUAGCAACAUUCAUGCACGGAAGAGAGGGAAGGAAUUGAAAAAUUCUAAUACCAUAUAAUAUAUUAAGAGAGUUUAUUAGUUAAAGGGAGAUGUUUUUAUUGUGAGAGCUUUGAACUCAAUUCUAGUCCAGAGUAUUAUGUGUAGGCUGUUGUAUCCUGGAGGGGACAGGUCAAUGAGUAUUACUGUUAGACCGGAAAAACAACUACCGCAGUGAGCUUUAAUCUCCUUAAAGAGAGCGAGAUAUCUGCGCCUCAGCCAUAGAAGAAGAAAUAACAUUUUUUCUUUAUUCAUUUGUAAUCAAUUGUAAUAUCACUGCAAUUUUUUACUUAUAAUAUCACCACCAACUUUAAGGAGAUUCAAAGAUGACAACAACUGAAAAUUCCGCGGAUUUCAAGCUGGGAGAUGUGAACAAUCCAUUCCGAUUCGAUGAUACUCUCUUCAAGAGGUGGAAGAGUAAAGUGUUUUUCUACUUAAGUCUUCUCAAUGUUUUUUAUGUGUUAACUGAGAAGAAUCAAAAUAAAGUAGAUAACUCUUUCAUGACUGACGACGACACUAAAUCUCUUGAGGAGAAAGUUAAAAAAUACAACAGUGACUCCUACAACUGUUGUUAUUUUUUACUUAAUUGUCUAUCUGAUAAUUUUUAUGAUUAUUAUGAUAGAAUUUACUCUAGUGCAAAGAAAAUUUGAAAAGUCUUGACAUCGAGGAGGCCGAAGCGAAAAAAAUAUGCGGCUAGAGGCCAAGAUGCACUUAUGCAAACAGAAGGGAACAACAUCACACCGAAGGUGCACUGCUGAGAGAAUACCCAUUUUUGUUCUUGCGAAAAAAAAAAAAAAGCAAUGGAGAUCCACCGGGAGGAAUGGAUAGAGGUUA